CCCUACAGAUAAAAGCCUCAAUAAAGGUCUUGGGUUUAUUGAAACAGCCACAAUUAAGCCCAAAAACAGCCAGUGACUCAUUGUCAUUAAGCCAAUGAAGUGCUAUUGAAGCCCUGAGGUGCUGAGGAUAGAACAGGUGUAAUUCAAAGCAAUUCUAGUAGGAGAGAUGGAGAGGGGCGGGCAAGUCGGAGGUCUUCUUGGCUGUUGGGUACACGGGACUGUGGGAGCAAGGCUGCGAGGGUGUGUGGCAUCUCCUUAAGAUGAGGGUGGAUAUGUGGGAUCACAGGAGGAGGGGCUGUGAAAUUAAAGGGCACUUUUACUGUGAGCGGCUGCUCUGGGGGAGGCAGCACCCCUCAGAUAUUACUGGGCCCCAGAUCACCCAAGGAGUUUGCUAAUAUGCAGACUGGGCUUCAGAUGCUCUGGAUGGGGCCCAGGAAUCUGCAUGUCUAACCAGCUCCGGGGAAUCCCUGCUGCUGUGGGGCUGAGGACUGCACCCCCGGAGCAAGGAGACAGAGAGCAAGGUGGCAGGAUCUCUCCAAAGCCAGUGGGUUUCAAGACUCUGGUGUGACUUUUCAAAAUUGAUCUUGUUUUUUUUCAAUCCUGAGGUCUGCAUCUGGGGGUAGAAGGGGUGAGGAUCAGGUUUCGCAGGAGGAGCUGGGGCUGCUUAAGUCCUGGUUCUGCCCACAAGCCCAUGUAGCUGCCCAGGACUCAAUCCCCACAGACCCCUGAGUGCCCCGACCUCCAGGCCAGCUUCCAGGGGGUGGAGGUCUUGCUGCGGGAGGGGGCAUAGGAUGCUAGCUUUUCUCCAUCAGGCACACCUCCCAGCCUCACUUGUUAAGGCCCACACACUCUGGGCAUGGCAGGAUGCUCUGAGAUCCUGAGAGAGCCAGAUUAUCCAGUUUUUCCGCAGCUGUCCUCUGUGACGUAUGUGUGUGCCUGAAGGUCUUUUGGGUCUUUUCUCCUGGGUCAAUGUCAUCUGCAUCCAGAACCUUGAGUGCUCCUGGGAGGAGAAGCCUCUAAGAUGGGAAACAGUUGGUCCUUGUGGGGAGGGGGCUGGAACUCGCACCUCGGCUGUCCCCUUGACACGCUCCUCAGCUCUGCUGGUUCUCCCUUCAGCUGAGGAAGAAGGCAAACUUCAGCCCAGAUUGGCCUGCUUGUCCCAAAUCUCAAAGCAUGGGGCUGCAAACUGUUACACGCCAGAAAAUUGGGAGGGUCUGUACCAUUCAUUUAUGUCUCUCUCUGCAGCCCCAGGGUGGGGGACUGUAAGCUCAUCCCACGGGCCGGGGGCCAGGCAGUAGUCCGUGAAAACCUCUUUUGGUCCUGGCUUCCCUUGGCUCAGCAGUCCUACACCCCUAACCCACCUCCUAUAGCCUCUGCUUUUUCCAAACCCUGUUCUGUAGUGGUUCCCCAGAGGCCCCAGACCAGCAGUGUUCAGUCUAGUGUGAUUUUGCUCGCAGGGGGCAUUUGGCAAUGUUUGGGCAUGUUUGUGGCUGUCACAGCUAAUGGCAGGUCCUGCUGGCAUCUGGUGGGUAGAGGCCAGGGAUGCUGCAAUGCACAGGAGCACCUACUGCAGGAAAAGAUGCCCAGGUCCACAGUCUCAUUAGUGCUGAGGCUGGGAACACCUGCCUUAGAUGGGUACCCAUGGGCCCUGGCUGACUGGGGAGAGCUGGACUUUGCUGGAACACUCGCCUUAGGGCUUAUUCAAAAGAUCCCCUCGAAAUGAGGGUCCUCGUAACUCGCUCUCUCACUUGCCACCUUUGUCAUUUGCCUUUCACGCCUGUCCUCAGGUUUGAGGGGUGCCCAUCAAGGAAGAGAUUUAACAGGGGGCUGUGAUCUAGCAGGUGCAGGCUGGGGCGUCAAAUCUCCCUGGGGUCACACGCCAUCCCGGUCACCUUAGGUUGGCCCCGGGUCUGAGUCAGGAGCUCAGUGGGGAGAGGUGCAGGCUGUGGAAUCAGACAGCCCUGGUCUUGGCUGGGUGUCCUACGGAAGGGUCUUAACCCCUCUGCCUCCAUCUCCCCUCAGUCUUGUAGAUCCAGGCAUCUAAGCACACAAGGGCUGGGAUGGAGUGGAGGUACAGGAAAUGACAGCGCACAGAGUUAUAAGCACCCAGCAGGUUUACAAAGGCUUGUGUGUGUUUCCCGCCUAAGACUGCGUGACUGGGAGAGGAGUCGGGUCCCCGAGUCUGAAUAUCAGCCGGAGGAUGGCAGUCAUCACGGGCAGAGAGCGAGCAGGAUGCGCGCUAAACAGGGCAUUUCCACCCCGGCUCUGUGAGCAAGGUGUCUGCUCACCCAUCUGCAUGCCGAGGGGUGGAUUUUGCCAAAUCAGGUGUAGGAGACGGGGCAGGGGUGCAGGUUGGUGAGUGAGUGUGUGUCUGCGGAUAUUCUAGGGCAUGUGACAGGUGUGUAAAACUGUGUGCACUCGAGUGCAUUUGAUUCCCAGGCCAUAUAGAAGUGCUUUGGGGACUAGUUUUGUUUUGUGGUUUUCAGCCUCCGUUUAAGGUAAAGGCUGGGGCUUUAUAUAAAUAUCACACUUUUUUCAUUCAUUUAUUUUUACUUAUCUACUGCUUCUUCCCCCCCCAAAAUAAUCUGAACUGCUUUACCAAGAAGGACAUAGAUAACAUAGAUAAAAGUAUCGAUAUAGGUAUAGUUAUCUUACUAAAGUGUAUUCGGAUUAAAAAUUUGGGGAGUUCUCAUUCUGGCUCACUGGUAACAAACCUUACUUGUAUCCAUGAGGUUGUGGGUUUGAUCCCUGGCCUCACUCAGUGGGUUAAGAAUCCAGCAUUGCUGUGAGUUGUGAUGUGGGUUGCAGACAUGGCUUUGAUCUAUAUUGCUAUGGUUGUGGUAUAUUCUAGCAGCUGUAGCUCCAGUUCGACCCCUAGCCUGGGAACUAUCAUAGGCCUUUGGUUUGGCCCUAAAAAAAAAAAAAUUAUGCUAAUUCUGCAGGCUAAUCUAAUUUCUAUGAUUAAUCAUCAUGUCUCUGAGUUUCCUGUCAGCCAAGGUAAAAAGGGAAAGAGGAAAAAAAUCAUAGAACAACAUUUUUGGGGGCCGCACCCUCGGCAUGCAUACAGAAGUUCUCAGGCCAAGGAUCCAUCCCAUGCCAUGGCAGCAACUCAAGCUGUUGUAGUGACAACGCCAGAUCCCUAGCUCACUUCUCCACAAGAAAACUCCCAGAACAACAUUUUCACAUGUGACCUUGAAUGACAAAGUGGACAAUUUCCCCAGCCACAAGUGUACAACAAAUGCAGGAGUGGUUUUCACAAUAAAUCUUAAUGACAGCUGAGGGCAUAGUAUUAGACUGCAGUUUAGUGAAGACAGCCCUGCCAAGCUCCUGAGGGACCAGCGCUUCCAGGGUUUAGCUUGACAGGGCAUAGAAUUUAGAACGCCCAACAGAGUGUCUGUCACCAGAAUCUCCUCUCUAAAUAUAAUUUCUCUGGUUGGGCUUUUUACCAGGAGUUGUUGAUAAGUAAUUUGAGGUCUUACUUCUUUCUGAGCACCUGCAGGCUGGUCUUCGGUAUUGCAGGCAGAUAGAGAACUUAUAUAAAAGCACCCAUCCCUAUUCCUGACAGGUGGAAAUUCUAUUUAUCUUUUAUUUUUUUUUUCAACUUUUUCAUUUGUUCUUCCACCCAUCUACCCAUCCAUCCAUCCAUCCAUCUGUCCAUGCAAGGCUAGGGGUCCAAUCAGAGCUGGUAGGUGCUGGCCUGUGUCACAGCCACAACCACAUAGGAUCUGAGCCGCAUCUGCAACCUACACCACAGCUCACAGCAAUGCUGGAUCCUUAACCCACUGAGCAAGGCCAGGGAUCAAACCUGCGUCCUCAUGGAUGCUAGUGAGAUUUGCUAACCACUGAGCCACAAUGGGAACCCCGACACGUGAUGUGUUUAGAUGAGCUUGGAUGUCUUUGAUACGGAGGCUACCAUCCUCCAUCCCCAUAAAUAGCUUGGUCCUCACCUGGAGCUGUAAAGUCCUGUGGGACAGAGUGGAGAUGAACAGGCCUGGCCGUUUAGCAGGGAAGCUGUUGGUGACUGUGGGAGGAAAAGCUGAAAGGCCAUCCAAAUUAAAUAAGGGCCAUGCUGCAAAAAAAGGCCUUCUGUGUCCCUUUCACAUAAGGAAAACAACCCAUUGCUGGUUCCAUUCUUAGCUGGAUAUUUGUAAUUGAGGCCAUGCUUGUUUGCACAACCAAUUCUAUGGGUAUGAGUCAAUUUUUUUUUCUUUUCAGCACCAUGCUAUUCAGUUGCCAAGAAAUACAUCAAUUGCUUAAUGUUUUCUCUGAUUCAUCCUGCCCGUACUUUCUCAACCUGAUCCAUGUCUUUGUUCUUGGUUCAACCCAUCAUGUGACUGGAUCAUGCCUGAAAUUCAGCUCUGAACGUCACCACCCCCCAUCUCCAGGGCAGGUGGAUGCACACCUGGGUAUACCUUUGAAGGCCCGAAUAUUUUUUAUUUUUAUUUUUUUUUGUCUUUUUAGGGCCACACCCGCGGCAUAUGGAGGUUCCCAGGCUAGGGGUCUAAUUGGAGCUGCAGCCACCGGCCUACACCACAGCCAUAGCAACGCAGGAUCCAAGCCACAUCUGCAAUCUGCACCACAGCUCGUGGCAACACCGGAUUCUUAACCCACAGAGUGAGGCCAAGGAUCGAACCUGCAACCUCAUGGUUCCUAGUUGGCUUUGUUUCUGCUGAGCCACGAUGGGAACUCCAGGCCUGAAUCUUCAGAAAAACAGAAAACAGCUCACAGUAGGUAUAGGCACCCUCUAACCCUGUGAAAUCCCCUUGUGACCACCCACACAGCUGGCCUGACUUGGGGAUCUGAACUUGAAUUCUUGAAGAACUAUGCAUUUCUGGCUAACAGUUUUCUGAAAGUUAACCAGCAUGCCUUUUUUUUUUUUUUUUAAGUUGUCCAUGCUACUGAAAAUAUUUCUCUAAGGCACAAACCCCUUUUUUCACCUCAGUAAGAAUCACAAAUAGGAGUUCCUGUUGUGGCUCAGUGGUAACGAAUCUGACUAGUAUUCAUGAGGAUGUAGGUUCGAUCCCUGGCCUUGUUCAGUGGCUUAAGGAUCUGGUGUUGCUGUGAGCUGUGGUGCAGGUCCCAGACACAGCUCAGAUCUGGCAUUGCUGUGGCUGGGGUAUAGGCUGGGAGCUGCAGUUCUGAUUCAACCCCUAGCCUGGGAACUUCCAUAUGCUGCAGGUGCGG
rnacentral:lncRNA from 1 species